rnacentral:rRNA from 1 species
UACGUAGGGUGCAAGCGUUGUCCGGAAUUAUUGGGCGUAAAGAGCCCGUAGGCGGUCUGUUGCGUCGGCUGUGAAAACCCGGGGCUCAACCCCGGGCCUGCAGCCGAUACGGGCAGACUAGAGUUCGGCAGGGGAGACUGGAAUUCCUGGUGUAGCGGUGAAAUGCGCAGAUAUCAGGAGGAACACCGGUGGCGAAGGCGGGUCUCUGGGCCGAUACUGACGCUGAGGAGCGAAAGCGUGGGGAGCGAACAGG